AUGGCCUCCUACACCCGCCCGAACCCCGCCAACCCUAGUAGCCCGGCCCCGUCGGCGCCGCCGCUCUACCCGUCGCUCACCAUGGCGGACCUGGCGCCGGUCGAGAUCCCGCGGUCCCCGGCCUCCCCCGACGCGCCGGCGCCGUCGGACGACGUGCUGCUGCGCGCCCCCGGCGCGCAGCUCCACCUAAUCGACCGCCAGCGCAGCCACCCGCUGGCCGCCGGCGACCUCUCCCUCCACCGCAUCCGCGCCGGCGACACCUCCCUCGCCGCCAUCGCGGCCCUGGGACCCGUCCAGUGGCCGCUCGCCCGCGACGUCGCCGCCGUCAAGCUCGACCCGCGCCACUACUCCUUCUCCUUCGCCGUCCCCGCCUCCGCCGACGACCCGGCCCCCGAGCCGCUCCACUACGGCCUCACGCUCUCCGCCCCCGACCCGCGCCUGGACGCCCUGCUCGGCGCCUACACCAGGUUCUCCGCCCACUCCGUGGCCGGCAGCGAGGGGCUCGCCGACGGGGUGCGCGGUGAGGUGGAGGCCGCCGCGUACUGGACCGCCGUCGCGCCCAACGUCGAGGAGUACGGCAGCGCCGUCGCCAGGGCCAUCGCGUCCGGCGCCGAGAACGUCGCCAAGGGGAUCCUGUGGUGCGGGGUGAUGACCGUCGACAGGCUCCGGUGGGGGCAGGAGGUUCUCAGGAAGAGGAUUCAGCCCGGCGAUACCGAGGCCGAGGUCAGUCCGGAGAUGCUCAGGCGGAUCAAAAGGGCUAAGAAGGUGACAAAAAUGUCCGAGAAAGUGGCAACUGGAAUACUGUCUGGAGUUGUGAAGCUUACUAGCUCUGUUACAAGCUCAUUGGUUAACUCAAAAGCUGGCAAGAAGUUCUUCAGCCUAUUGCCUGGAGAGGUUAUUCUUGCUUCACUUGAUGGAUUUGGCAAGAUUUCUGACGCCGUAGAAGUGGCUGGGAAGGAUGUGCUAUCAACAUCGUCGACGGUGACGACCGGUCUUGUAUCCCACAAGUACGGAGAGAAAGCUGCUGCGGCAACCAACGAAGGGCUCGAUGCGGCAGGCCACGCCAUCGGAACGGCGUGGGCUGUGUUCAAGCUCCGGCAGGCAUUGAACCCGAAGAGCGUCCUGAAACCCACGUCGCUCGCCAAGUCCAGCAUCAAGGCUGGAGCCGCGGAGCUCCGGGCGAAGAGCAGCAAGAGCAAGUAG
rnacentral:rRNA from 1 species